rnacentral:rRNA from 1 species
GAUGAACGCUGGCGGCGUGCCUAAUACAUGCAAGUCGAGCGAACAGACGAGGAGCUUGCUCCUCUGACGUUAGCGGCGGACGGGUGAGUAAAACGUGGUUAACCUAACUUUAAGACUGGGAUAACUUCGGGGAACCGGAGCUAAUACCGGAUAAUAUAUUGAACCGCAUGGUUCAAUAGUGAAAGACGGUUUUGAUGUCCCCUAUAGAUGGCACCGCGCCGCAUUAGCGAGUUGGUAAGGUAACGGCUUACCAAGGCAACGAUGGGUAGCCGACCUGAGAGGGUGAACCGCCACACUGAGACUGAGAGACGGUCCAGACUCCGACGGGAGGCAGAGGCAGGGAAGCUUCCGAAAUGGGCGGAAGCCUGAAGGAGCAACGCCGCGUGAGUGAUGAAGGUCUGCGGAUCGUAAAACUCUGUUAUGAUGGAAGAACAAAUGUGUAAGUAACUAUGCACGUCUUGACGGUACCUAAACAGAAAGCCACGGCUAACUACGUG